rnacentral:misc_RNA from 1 species
GUACGAAAAUGAGGUCUAUUCACUCAUUCAGAUCAAGAAGACAAGCCACCGCCAUUUCCAAUCUCAAACCAACAAGGAGAAGAAGGAUAAAGCUUCUUCACCUUCCAAAGCACACCUCCUCCUCCACCGCUGUCUCCGCCACCACCGCUGCCCGAACAACCCCGUCCGCCGCCAUGCACAGAAGGCUGAGAAAUCUUCAGAGGCUGGUCCCUGGCCACACCCAUGAAACCGACCUCAACCACUUGUUUCAAAGAACUGCAGAUUACAUCUUUGCUUUACAACUUAAGCUCAACAUCCUCAAAGAU